GAUGAACGCUGGCGGCGUGCUUAACACAUGCAAGUCGAACGAAGCAUUUACUUACGAUCCCUUCGGGGUGACGAGUAUCUGACUUAGUGGCGGACGGGUGAGUAACGCGUGGGUAACCUGCCUUGUACUGGGGGACAACAGUUGGAAACGACUGCUAAUACCGCAUAAGCGCACAGUAUCGCAUGAUACAGUGUGAAAAACUUAGGUGGUACAAGAUGGACCCGCGUCUGAUUAGCUAGUUGGUGGGGUAACGGCCUACCAAGGCGACGAUCAGUAGCCGACUUGAGAGAGUGAUCGGCCACAUUGGGACUGAGACACGGCCCAA
rnacentral:rRNA from 1 species